rnacentral:misc_RNA from 1 species
CGUAGAAGUUCUUCCCGCGUCGCGUCUCCCGGAUCCGAUCCCGAGGACGCUCGAGUCUUGGACAACGGACCGGGCGCCCGGGAAAGGAACGAUCGGGAUUUUCCUCCUUCAGCAGCGACUUUGGCGAUCGAUUAACCCCAAAGCCGAGGCGGGUCCUCCGUUCACCGAGGCAAGGUAAGAUAAGACGAGGCAAGGCUGGCGAAGCUGGCCGAGGAAGGGCCCCAGGGGUGGGGAUGUUGCGCAACGAUAUGCCGCCACCUGCACUCGUUUCGCCACUAACCGGCGACGGUGGUAGCUCGUGUUACUUUCUCCGAUUAAACUUGUAGUUGUUUCGAGUUAAUAUGAAAUCUAGGGACUAUUGGCAAUUACCGGGAACGCCGGCCGGCGCGGCCCGUGACCGCCUCCGGGUCGCUUCCACCGGGGAUGCGAUUUUUCCGCCUCGGAUCUAUCUGACAGGGAUGCCGCGCGCGGGACCCCGAAAUCCUUUCUCGACGUCCCUUGGGAUGAAUCGCUCGAUCGGCGGGGUUCUACCCGAUUUCCUCCUUUCGAGCUGAAAAUAAACCCUCGAGAAGACGCUUCGUUUGGCCUCGCGGAUCGCGCAUCGACAUCUAAGGGAGUCAUCGCCAAGGAAGCGAGGAGGUGCCGAGGAAUGCUAUACCGCACGAGAAGGAACUACUGGUCAACAUUGACUGUCCAAUUUGCAUAAUAAUCAACUAUAUUCGAGAAGUUGCCCGACUUAGCGAGUCCAGUAAAGAUCUUAUUUAAAUGACAUCGAGGGAAUUACUCUGCAACGAGGGUUCUGCCAAAUGCGAAACAAAUCCUACUUCUAGAUUUUUUUCUUCUUUAUCGUUUAAUCGCUAUUUAUAGUGACGAUGAAAAAUACCGAUACCGAAUUUCAAACCUCACAGGUGAAUUCGAUUUGUGUGAUGAAACUAUUUGCCAGUUGAGAAAUAUUCAUUCCUUCGUUCCCGAUACCCCGGGCCUCGAGGUUUUACAACCAAAUGCAACGUAUCUCAUAUUGACCUACGAACGCGAUUCCAGUGGGCAG